GUCCUGGUCGAUUAGUGGUGAAAUCAUCUCGUUGUGGUUUGAAUGCUGUUCAAUAACUCCGAGAAGCCGAGGGCUCGACUCCCUCCCGGGACA